UACGUAGGGACCAAGCGUUGUUCGGAUUUACUGGGCGUAAAGGGCGCGUAGGCGGCGUGGUAAGUCACUUGUGAAAUCUCUGAGCUUAACUCAGAACGGCCAAGUGAUACUGCUGUGCUAGAGUGCAGAAGGGGCAAUCGGAAUUCUUGGUGUAGCGGUGAAAUGCGCAGAUAUCAGGAGGAACACCGAUGGCGAAGGCAGCUCGCUGGGACGGUACUGACGCUGAGACGCGAAAGCGUGGGGAGCGAACAGG
rnacentral:rRNA from 1 species